CCAACCUUAGCUUAGCUGGAAGAGCAUGAGACUGUAAUUGGAUGUCUUUAUUAACCUAUCUCGAGGCCGUGCGUUUGACCCGCACAGGUUGGA